GGCUCAGGAUGAACGCUGGCGGCGUGCUUAAUACAUGCAAGUCGAACGGAGACAUUAGCAAUAAUGUUUUAGUGGCGAACGGGUGAGUAACGCGUUGGUGACCUGCCCCGAAGAGAGGGAUAACAGUUCGAAAGGAUUGCUAAUACCCCAUGUGGUUGUUUGGAUUAGAUGCCUUACAACUAAACGGAUUUAUUCGCUUCGGGAGGGACCUGCGUCCCAUCAGCUAGUUGGUAGGGUAACGGCCUACCAAGGCUAUGACGGGUAGGGGACCUGAGAGGGUGGCCCCCCACAAUGGAACUGAAACACGGUCCAUACACCUACGGGUGGCAGCAGUAGGGAAUAUUGGUUAAUCUGCGAAAGCGGGAACCAGCAACGCCGCGUGCACGAUGAAGGCCUUCGGGUUGUAAAGUGCUUUUUGAGAGGAUGAGGAAGGACAGUACUCUUAGAAUAAGCUUCGGCUAACUACGUGCCAGCAGCCGCGGUAAAACGUAGGAAGCGAGCGUUAUCCGGAUUUACUGGGCGUAAAGCGUGUGUAGGCGGUUUGACAAGUUGGAUGUGAAAGCUCCUGGCUUAACUGGGAGAGGUCGUUCAAAACUGUCAGACUCGAGAGUGGUAGAGGGAGGUGGAAUUCCGGGUGUAGUGGUGAAAUGCGUAGAUAUCCGGAGGAACACCAGUGGCGAAAGCGGCCUCCUGGCCCAUUUCUGACGCUCAGACACGAAAGCUAAGGUAGCAAACGGGAUUAGAGACCCCGGUAGUCUUAGCUGUAAACGAUGUGAACUUAGUGUCGGUGGGUUUAAAUCCAUCGGUACUGAAGCUAACGCGAUAAGUUCACCGCCUGGGGACUACGGCCGCAAGGUUAAAACUCAAAG
rnacentral:rRNA from 1 species